UACGUAGGGUGCGAGCGUUAAUCGGAAUUACUGGGCGUAAAGUGUGCGCAGGCGGCGUCGCAAGUCGAGUGUGAAAGCCCCGGGCUUAACUUGGGAAUUGCGCUCGAGACUACGGUGCUGGAGUAUGGCAGAGGAAGGUGGAAUUCCACGUGUAGCGGUGAAAUGCGUAGAGAUGUGGAGGAACACCGAUGGCGAAGGCAGCCUUCUGGGCCAAUACUGACGCUCAUGCACGAAAGCGUGGGGAGCAAACAG
rnacentral:rRNA from 1 species